UACGUAGGGUGCAAGCGUUGUCCGGAAUUAUUGGGCGUAAAGAGCUCGUAGGCGGUUUGUCGCGUCUGCCGUGAAAGUCCGGGGCUCAACUCCGGAUCUGCGGUGGGUACGGGCAGACUAGAGUGAUGUAGGGGAGACUGGAAUUCCUGGUGUAGCGGUGAAAUGCGCAGAUAUCAGGAGGAACACCGAUGGCGAAGGCAGGUCUCUGGGCAUUAACUGACGCUGAGGAGCGAAAGCAUGGGGAGCGAACCGG
rnacentral:rRNA from 1 species